rnacentral:rRNA from 1 species
GCUGGCGGCAGGCCUAACACAUGCAAGUCGAACGGAGUUAUAUUGUAGCUUGCUAUGGUAUAACUUAGUGGCAGACGGGUGAGUAAUGUAUAGGAAUCUACCUAGUAGUACGGAAUAAUUGUUGGAAACGGCAACUAAUACCGUAUACGCCCUACGGGGGAAAAAUUUAUUGCUAUUAGAUGAGCCUAUAUUAGAUUAGCUAGUUGGUGGAGUAAUAGCCUACCAAGGCAAUGAUCUAUAGCUGAUCUGAGAGGAUGAUCAGCCACACUGGAACUGAGAUACGGUCCAGACUCCUACGGGAGGCAGCAGUGGGGAAUAUUGGACAAUGGGCGAAAGCCUGAUCCAGCCAUGCCGCAUGAGUGAAGAAGGCCUUUGGGUUGUAAAGCUCUUUUAGUGAGGAAGAUAAUGACGGUACUCACAGAAGAAGUCCUGGCUAACUCCGUGCCAGCAGCCGCGGUAAUACGGAGAGGGCUAGCGUUAUUCGGAAUUAUUGGGCGUAAAGGGCGCGUAGGCGGAUUAGUAAGUUAAAAGUGAAAUCCCAAGGCUCAACCUUGGAAUUGCUUUUAAAACUGCUAAUCUAGAGAUUGAAAGAGGAUAGAGGAAUUCCUAGUGUAGAGGUGAAAUUCGUAAAUAUUAGGAGGAACACCAGUGGCGAAGGCGUCUAUCUGGUUCAAAUCUGACGCUGAGGCGCGAAGGCGUGGGGAGCAAACAGGAUUAGAUACCCUGGUAGUCCACGCUGUAAACGAUGAAUGUUAAAUAUGGGAAGUUUUACUUUCUGUAUUACAGCUAACGCGUUAAACAUUCCGCCUGGGGACUACGGUCGCAAGAUU